CUAUGAUAUUUUUGCAUGGUAAAAUGCCUAAAUAUAUAAAUCUCACAAAAUAAGUAGAUUGUAUAUACUAUAAAGCACAACACUCUGAUUUAAAAAAAGAAAAUCAUAGAUAAAUGAGAAACAUAGAGCUUGCUUGUGAGUUAGAGCAUGCCAUACUGUUGGGAGCCACCACAUUGCCGAGCCGCCGCAUAUAGCGAUCAUGCGGCCUGUGGUAAAGAGCAAAGCCUGAGUUAGAUUACCCCUCCCAUCGAGCACGUUAGUUUCCUGCUUACCGCGUAAACAACCCGCUCAAUAAUAUGUUAGCCAAUCAGCUUGCCUUGCUUACUUUAAUAUGAUUGGACACUGUAUCCGUAUAUAUACUGGUGCCACCCCUGGGGGGAAGUAGAAGCCCGGAAGGAGCCGCGGAGAGCGGACCGGUAGAGGCUUCGGAGCGAAGCCCUGAAGGAGCCGCGGAGAGCGGACCGGUAGAGGCUUCGGAGCGAAGCACGGAAGGAGCCGCGGGGAGCAGACCAGAGGAGGCUUCGGCUGGGAGCGAUCCCAGGGCAGGCUGUACGGAGAGAAAAUAAAAGAAAAGGUUGUCCACUGCCAGACUUUGUCAUGUGUCCUUCCUGCCGGCCGGGAGCGACAUCGACAUUUGGAGGCCCGCACGGGGAACAACUGAUCACCCCCGAGACGUGGUAGUGGACAACGUUCCUUGAUACAGCACUGCGAGACAGGAAUCGAGACGAGAACCACUGUGGGUACCGGAGAGACUGACACGGGCGACAAAGCCCUCGACUGAAGAUCAGACCUGCCCUACCGGAGAUCCAUCACAGACCAACCAACAA